ensembl:lncRNA
GUUUUUUUGCCAAAGUAUAUUUACGGUACUUCGAUACGAUUUAGUUUUUCAGUUUAUAUUUCUUUAUUUGUGUGUUUAAAAAAAACAAACAUCUGUUUUGUAUUUAUUACAAUUUUUUAUUUUUACUCCAAAGUAUUGUGUAUUAACUUGCCCGCGGUGUUGGGUAAUACUGAACGUUCAGACAUCGUGGGCGGCAGGUAGCCUCGUGGUUCGAUCGUUGGGCCACUUGUUGAAUAUAUUCAGUCGUUCUCCAAAUCCUGAAGCUACUUUACCUUGAUAUAUGCAUGCUGAAUUUGGAUUUACAUUUGGGAUUUUGUUUGUUGCACCAAAACUCCCUGUACUGUGUACUUUAUAACUGAGCUUCAUGUCCAGUUUUUCAUAACUCUCUCAUUGCCACAAAUUAUAUAAUAAUAAUAAUUAUAAGAUACUUUUAAAAAAAUAUACAAAAAAUUUAAAUGACUUUAAACUUUUAUUUAUACUCAUUAAUUUCCCAAUACUUCCAAACAUGUUGUUGAACUGUAUUGUAAAAUAUGAUAUAUAUAUAUAUAUUAUAUAUAUAUAAUAUAUAUUAUGUGUGUUACAGGUAAAAGGGCAUAAGAAUAGAGGUACUCAAUCAUUCAAAGACACCUACUGUGUGCCUGUGUGUGAAGAUCAGGAAUCUGCAACGUUUGGGUAUUUUUACCAACUAUCUUUACUGCAAUAUACAUAGUUUAAAAUAAUAAUAAUAAUAAUAAUAAUAAUAAUAAUAAUAAUAAUAAUAAUAAUAAUAAUAAUAAUAAUAAUCUUUCCUUGAAAUCUACAGGAACUUGAUAGACCAUUUUCUUAAAUAAUGAAACAUACAAACAUGUCACAGACAUUAUGUGAGUGUCAUUAACAUGUACAAAAGGGUUAUUUUGAUUUCGAUGGGAGACGUGUAAACAAUGUGAACAGCUCUGUGUAGGGAGUAGGGAGGUGUUUCACCCUAGGUCUCUGUGUAGGGAGUAGGGAGGUGUUUCACCCUAGGUCUCUGUGUAGGGAGUAGGGAGGUGUUUCACCCUAGGUCUCUGUGUAGGGACUAGGGAGGUGUUUCACCCUAGGUCUCUGUGUAGGGAGUAGGGAGGUGUUUCACCCUAGGUCUCUGUGUAGGGACUAGGGAGCUGUUUCACCCUAGGUCUCUGUGUAGGGAGCUGUUUCACCCUAGGUCUCUGUGUAGGGAGUAGGGAGCCGUUUCACCCUAGGUCUCUGUGUAGGGAGCUGUUUCACCCUAGGUCUCUGUGUAGGGAGUAGGGAGCCGUUUCACCCUAGGUCUCUGUGUAGGGAGCUGUUUCACCCUAGGUCUCUGUGUAGGGACUAGGGAGGUGUUUCACCCUCGGUCUCUGUGUAGGGAGUAGGGAGCCGUUUCACCCUAGGUCUCUGUUGAGGAAAACGUCAUUUGAAUCAUCAGUACGGUAAGGGGAUCUUGUUAUAGUGAAACAGACGGAAACGGCCCGGACAAAAUAAAUAACAACAACAAAACAUUGCAAAUGAAGUUUUUUGAAAUAAAUGAUCGUCUGGCUAAGCCAAACAUUCUACGACAUAAUGUUUUCCUCUUUUUCAUGAAUUCUAAAACUUUGUAUGUUUUAUUGUCAACAGGAAUGAGUAUUAAUGUAAUUAUUAUUAUUAUUAUGAUUAUUGUCAUGGCUAUUACUAAUAUUAGUGGCAGGCCACUGGGUAACAUUGUAUGUUGAUAUCCAAAUGAUAAUGAUGAAAUGUUUAUGAGUUUUAAAAACAAA